GACGAACGCUGGCGGCGUGCCUAAUACAUGCAAGUAGGACGCACAGUCUAUACCGUAGCUUGCUACACCAUAGACUGUGAGUUGCGAACGGGUGAGUAACGCGUAGGUAACCUGCCUAUUAGAGGGGGAUAACUAUUGGAAACGAUAGCUAAUACCGCAUAACAGUAUGUAACACAUGUUAGAUGCUUGAAAGAUGCAAUUGCAUCGCUAGUAGAUGGACCUGCGUUGUAUUAGCUAGUAGGUAGGGUAAUGGCCUACCUAGGCGACGAUACAUAGCCGACCUGAGAGGGUGAUCGGCCACACUGGGACUGAGACACGGCCCAGACUCCUACGGGAGGCAGCAGUAGGGAAUCUUCGGCAAUGGGGGGAACCCUGACCGAGCAACGCCGCGUGAGUGAAGAAGGUUUUCGGAUCGUAAAGCUCUGUUGUUAAGGAAGAACGAGUGUGAGAAUGGAAAGUUCAUA
rnacentral:rRNA from 1 species